AUUGAACGCUGGCGGCAGGCCUAACACAUGCAAGUCGAGCGCGCGGCGGACGGGUGGGUAAUGUCUGGGAAACUUCAUGUUGGCUGGGGAUAAAUACUGGCCACGGUAGCUAAUACCGAUUACCCUCAUAUAUGCCCAUGUGGGAGUAGCUAGUAGGUGGGGUGACGGCGCACCUAGGCGACGAUCCCUAGAUGGUCUGAGAGGAUGACCAGCCACACUGGAACUGAGACACGGUCCAGACGCCUACGGGAGGCAGCAGUGGGGAAGAGUGCACAAUGGGAGAAAGCCUGAUGCAGCCAUGCCGCGUGUCUGAAGAAGGCCUUCGGGUUGUAAAGCACUUUCAGCGGGGAGGCGUUACCCGCAGAAGAAGCACCGGCUAACUCCGUGCCAGCAGCCGCGGUAAUUC
rnacentral:rRNA from 1 species